AGAAUUCAACAUAUUUGACAAAUUCAUAAAAUCAUAAUAUGAAUCAAAGGAUAAAGCCACUCGAGCUACUUUAUUUGUCACUUUUUAGUCCAAAUAAAAGAUAAAUUAUUAAAACAAGAUUGAAGGAAAAGGUUGUAACACCUUGAUACCUGACCCGAUCGUCAACUCCUAAUUAUAAGGUAUUACAUACAUUGCUGAAGCAACUACAACCAGAUUACAUUCAUUUAAAAACUGUGAAACAUUCAAAUAUAACUAAAACAAGUGUAUAAAAUGAUAUAUAAUCGUUUUUGGGUCUUAUACGAGCUUACGAAAGCUCUUUUGCUAACUCGAGAUCAAAAUAUGACCAAUUUGUAAGAAUUCAAAAAUUUUGGGUUGACGCUAUGACACCGGGGGUCCCUUGUCGCGGUGCAACCUACUAUUUGGAUUACUCGAGAUCAAAAUAUGACCCAACCGUUGCCACAUGAACUUUACUCUAUUUCUCAUUGUGAUGUCAGAGGCUCGUCAUUGCGACGUGAUUCAUUGUUUUCACAAGAACCAACUUGGUACAAGUUUGGAAGACCUAAAAUCAUAUUUAAAUACAUUCCAUACUACCAUAUCAAUUCCAUUAUAAAGCAGUCAAGUCAAAUUAUGCAAAAUUGAUACUUCUAAAUACUAUUAAAUUACCAAUUUCUAACAUCAACUAAUCAAUCUAACUUAUAGCAUUCAUAUUUUCAGAAACCAACCAAAACACAUAAAUUUUCAUAGCCUUUAACUUUAAGGCUCCAAAUCAACUUUAGAAACAUAUUCAAACAUGAUUUCUAAACAUUUACAUAAGCUUACAACUUGACAACCUAACCAUUUGAGAUAUUAAACUAAAAUACCAAUAGGUAUAUGCCAAAAAACCAAAAUGAACCAUGAUAUACAAACUUUGUUGGGUCGAAAACGGUAGUUUGGAUGCCGACUUCAAGUCUUGAGGCUACGAGAAAUACUUGAAUCUGUGCAUAGAGAAAACAAACCAUACGCUGAGCAAUAAAGCUAAUUGGUACCUUCAUGAUUCAAGAUAGCAUAAACAUUUAAAAUGAUCAUGAAUAACACCAUUACACAAUUUAACCCAGUUAUAAUCUAUCAAUCUAACAAUAUCACAUCUUAGAUACGAAGGAAUAUAUGAAUAUGGCAAAUAACUAAUACAUUUGUCAAUAUUUGCAAGAAAAUAAUAUAUACAUACCAUUUGAUAAUUACCAUUUUUCAUACCUUAUUAGCUAGCGCUAUCAAACAUAUAUCACACAUCUUUAUAUGCUAUUAACAUUAUACUAAUAUUAUUUAUCUUGUUUUCAUACCAUUUGAACUUGUUUUUAGAGUCUACCGACUCAUUUAUACUUAUUUUGGUAUCAUAUUAUAUUUACAAUUCUAGUUAAGAUGCAAUGGAAACUACACUACACCAGAUAGCUCGUAGAAGCUUAAACUACAACACACCAGGGCACUGAAGUGCAAGGCCUGAAGGCAUUAAAUGCAUUUUUCAUAUGCUAAUACAUCCCUCCACCACACCAUAUUAUACUCAAUGAUCUACAACAAAUGCUAGAUCCCGAUAAAACUUUUCACGAUCUCCAUACAAACACAUAUCUCGUAUAACCUCCCAAACCUUGCCUAGACGUUAUGGCCGAAUCCUGAAAGUUACAUUAGCCAUUGAAAUGGCCAAGCAAAUCUGUUUAGGUUCGAAAAAUCACAAUUUUGACCAAUUUAGAAAACUUAGCAUGGUUGCCUCGAGUUUAUUAAAAACAUUGGUUUGUUAGGUCAUUUAUGAUUUAAGUCUAAUUUAUUAGAAAAUCGUGUCAUUUGAAAAUAACUCAAUUGACUCCAUCAAAAAACGUUUUAAAAACUUUAAAAAGUGUUGCACUUAAUUUUUGUAUAGAAAUAUGUAUUUUAAAUCAAAUUUGGCUGGUUAUUAAAUUUGUUUGGUUUUUAUCCAAAUAUUUCAUGCAUGCAAAAUCCCAAGUAAAAUAACCCAUAUCACAGUCCAUACGUAAUAAAAUUUAUAGUCCCAAAACAAAACCAAAAUAAUAAAUUAAAAUUUAAAAACACUUCACUUAGUGAAAAAAACCGAUAUGAGACCUCUGUAUGCCGAGUCCGCUCCUAGUCUUGCGGGUUAUUUGUAAGGAGUAAACUAAAGGGUGAACUUAAAAAGCUCAGUGUGAGCCGAAGAAAAAAUAAGCAUUUUAUAAGCACACAAUCAGUUAAUGGGGCAUACAAUUUAUCAUGGCAUAUCAAACUUUUGUAUAUGGCAUGCUCAAUGGUACAGUACAAUAGGCCUACCCAUCCAUCUACUACACACUACAAGUUUCCUAGAACCCGUCAUCCAAAAACCAAAAUAGGAAGAGUCGAAACUCGAUGUGGAUAAACCACCAAUAACAUUAUACAAUUAAAACUACCAAUAAUUUGCAGGCAAGCUGCCAAUAAGAUGCAACAAGUUUUCGGUACUCCUACUCCACAAUACUCCAGGGCGUAUAUAUACUAUUGAACAAUAAGAUUGCAGAUAAACCGCCAGUACUCCACGGAACUCCUUCGUCACCAAUCAAUUCUCAAACUCAUGCAAUGCAAUAUGACAUACCAAUCAUGUAGCAUAUCAUGCUAAUUAGUAACAGUAACAAUAUCAGUGGCAUAACAUGCUUUCAGUUUACCAAUUUAGUGGCAUGCUUAUAGUAGCUUAUUCAUGCAUUUAAUAACAAUAUCAUAAAAUAAAGUUCAGUAAACAUAUAAUCAAUAAUUACAAUCAGCACCCACACAAUCAUUUAGUCACAAUAAAGGCCCUUUAGCAUUCAGUCACUACCCUUUUUUUACUUACCUCAAUUGACAAUCCCUAAUCCACCUCAAGGCCAUUCGGUCAAACACAAAUCAACAUGUAAUAAUUGGUCAACAUGCAUUAUACGUGAUUUUUAACAAUCAUAAACACCCAAAGGUAAGACCCACACCUGAUUAUGUUAAUUCGAACACUAUUGCUUUUCCAGAACGUCUAUGUCUUAGAUCUAACUAGAUACAACUCAGAUAUGUACCUAACAGAGAGAUCGAAUGUUAAAAAUCAGCCCCUUAACACCCAUAUAGGGUUCGGCCAAAGCAUUAAGAUUAACUGAGGUUUUCAGAUUUAAAUUUGAAAAUUAUCACUUACUCAAUUUAGCUUAUGAUGAAGUUGCGAGUAGAUUGCCAAAACUAUUGCUGAUCUGAAUGGUUUUGAUUUGGAUCUUGAAUAAAUCAAAACAAAAGAAAAAAAAAGAACUUGCGAGAAUCGACCACGACAGAAGCUUGAUUCAACCGUACAAUACUUAAUUAAGAAUAGAACGACAUAAAUCUAAAAGAAAAUAAAAUAAAAAUUCUGCAUUUAGGUACUUGCUCAAAUUUGUGAUAAUAAAAAGAAAAACAAAGAGUAGAAUAAGAGAAUCAAAGGGGCGACAACAAUGACAUAAAAAUUAACAACAAAAUUUGGUUAUAGGGGUAGAAGAUAAGAUGAGCAGAAAAUAAAAUAAGAAAUAAGGAGAGUUGAUGAUUAAUGGGGCGGCACAAUUGUAGAAUUUAGGGAUUUUAGGGGUGGCAUAGAGAGGAAGAAAAGAGAGAAAAUUGAGAGAAACAGAGAGGAAAAAGGGAGGGGACGACAAUAGGG
rnacentral:lncRNA from 1 species